rnacentral:rRNA from 1 species
AAUUUCGGAUAAUGGGGGAAACCCUGAUCCAGCCAUCCCGCGCGUAUGAUGAAGGCCUUCGGGUUGUAAAGUACUUUUGGCAGAGAAGAAAAGGUACCUCCUAAUACGAGGUACUGCUGACGGUAUCUGCGGAAUAAGCACCGGCUAACUACGUGCCAGCAGCUGCGGUAAUACGUAGGUUGCAAGCGUUAAUCGGAAUUACUGGGCGUAAAGCGUGUGUGGGCGGUUCGGAAAGAAAGAUGUGACAUCCCAGGGCUCAACCUUGGAACUGCAUUUUUAACUGCCGAGCUAGAGUAUGACAGAGGGGGGUAGAAUUCCACGUGUAGCAGUGAAAUGCGUAGAUAUGUGGAGGAAUACCGAUGGCGAAGGCAGCACCCUGGGAUAAUACUGACGCUCAGACACGAAAGCGUGGGGAGCAAACAG